rnacentral:rRNA from 1 species
GGCCUUCUGGGUUGUAAACUGCUUUUGUCAGGGGAUAAAAAGCUCGUGCGCGAGAAAUUGAAUGUACCUGGCGAAUAAGCCACGGCUAACUACGUGCCAGCAGCCGCGGUAAUACGUGGGUGGCAAGCGUUGUCCGGAUUUAUUGGGUUUAAAGGGUGCGUAGGCGGUCCUGUAAGUCAGUGGUGAAAUACGGCAGCUCAACUGUCGAGGUGCCAUUGAUACUGCGGGACUUGAGUGUUGAUGAGGUAGGCGGAAUUGACGGUGUAGCGGUGAAAUGCUUAGAUAUCGUCAAGAACACCGAUAGCGAAGGCAGCUUACCAAGCAACAACUGACGCUGAGGCACGAAAGUGUGGGGAUCAAACAGGAUUAGAUACCCUGGUAGUCC